CCCGUGUCCAGGUGACAUGUGUGUCCCAUGUUCGGGUGACAUGUGUGUCCCUUGGCAAUGUGACAUGUGUGUGCCAUGUUCGGGUGACAUGUGUGUCCCUUGUCAAUGUGACACGUAUGUGCCCUGUUCGAGUUACAUGUGUGUGUCACGUUCGGGUGACACGUGUGUCCCAUGUUCAGGAGACAUGUGUGUCCCCUGGCAACAUCACAUGUGUGUCCCAUGUUCGGGUGACAUGUAUGUCCCAUGGCAACGUGACACACGUGUCCCAUGUUCAUGUGACAUGUGUGUCCCAUGUUCAGGUCACAUGUUUGUCCCAUGUUCAGGCAACAUGUGUGUCCCAUGUUUGGGUGACGUGUGUCUCAUGAUCGGGUGACACGUGUGUCCCAUAGAAACGUGACACGUGUGUGCCAUGUUCAG
ensembl:lncRNA